AACGAACGCUGGCGGCAGGCCUAACACAUGCAAGUCGAGCGCACCUUCGGGUGAGCGGCGGACGGGUUAGUAACGCGUGGGAACGUGCCCUUCUCUACGGAAUAGCCUCUGGAAACGGAGAGUAAUACCGUAUACGCCCUUUGGGGGAAAGAUUUAUCGGAGAAGGAUCGGCCCGCGUUAGAUUAGGUAGUUGGUGGGGUAACGGCCCACCAAGCCGACGAUCUUUAGCUGGUCUGAGAGGAUGAUCAGCCACACUGGGACUGAGACACGGCCCAGACUCCUACGGGAGGCAGCAGUGGGGAAUUUUCCGCAAUGGGCGAAAGCCUGACGGAGCAACGCCGCGUGAGGGAUGAAGGCCUCUGGGCUGUAAACCUCUUUUAUCAAGGAAGAAGAUCUGACGGUACUUGAUAAGUAAGCCACGGCUAAUUCCGUG
rnacentral:rRNA from 1 species